GCAUAUCAAUAAGCGGAGGAAAAGAAACCAACCGGGAUUGCCUCAGUAACGGCGAGUGAAGCGGCAAGAGCUCAAAUUUGAAAGCUGGCCCCUCCGGGGUCCGCGUUGUAAUUUGCAGAGGAUGCUUUGGGUGCGGCCCCCGUCUAAGUGCCCUGGAACGGGCCGUCAGAGAGGGUGAGAAUCCCGUCUUGGGCGGGGUGUCCGUGCCCGUGUAAAGCUCCUUCGACGAGUCGAGUUGUUUGGGAAUGCAGCUCUAAAUGGGUGGUAAAUUUCAUCUAAAGCUAAAUACUGGCCGGAGACCGAUAGCGCACAAGUAGAGUGAUCGAAAGAUGAAAAGCACUUUGAAAAGAGAGUUAAACAGCACGUGAAAUUGUUGAAAGGGAAGCGCUUGCGACCAGACUCGCCCUCGGGGUUCAGCCGGCACUCGUGCCGGUGUACUUCCCCGGGGGCGGGCCAGCGUCAGCUUGGGCGGCCGGUCAAAGGCCUCCGGAAUGUAGUGCCCCCCGGGGCACCUUAUAGCCGGAGGUGCAAUGCGGCCAGCCUGGGCUGAGGAACGCGCUUCGGCACGGACGCUGGCAUAAUGGUCGCAAACGACCCGUCUUGAAACACGGACCAAGGAGUCUAACAUCUACGCGAGUGUUCGGGUGUCAAACCCGUACGCGCAGUGAAAGCAAACGGAGGUGGGAGCCCCCUCGCGGGGCGCACCAUCGACCGAUCCUGAUGUCUUCGGAUGGAUUUGAGUAAGAGCGUAAAUGUGGGGACCCGAAAGAUGGUGAACUAUGCCUGAAUAGGGCGAAGCCAGAGGAAACUCUGGUGGAGGCUCGCAGCGGUUCUGACGUGCAAAUCGAUCGUCAAAUUUGGGUAUAGGGGCGAAAGACUAAUCGAACCAUCUAGUAGCUGGUUCCUGCCGA
rnacentral:rRNA from 2 species